rnacentral:tRNA from 1 species
GCUCAGAUAGCUCACAGUUAGAGCGUAGCACUGAAGAUGCUAAGGUGGCGAAUUUCGCCUCAGAGCA